ensembl:misc_RNA Metazoa_SRP Metazoan signal recognition particle RNA
GCUGGGCGUGGUGGUGUGUGCCUGUAAUUCCAGCUACUCAGGAGGCUGAGGCAGGAGAAUCGCUUGAAACCUGGAGACUGAGGUUGCAGUGAGCCGAGACUGCAGCACUGGACUCCAGCCUGGGUGACAGAGUGAGACCCUGUCUCAA